CUCCCCAGCUGGAUGAGGCAGUGGCUGAAGCCCACCUGGGCAAGCUGAAUGUGAAGUUGACCAAGCUAACUGAGAAGCAAGCCCAGUACCUGGGCAUGUCCUGUGAUGGCCCCUUCAAGCCGGAUCACUACCGCUACUGAGAGCCAGCCCUGCCAAGCACCAAUGGCCAGAGACCUGGGGGUUCUUGGUAAAGCUCAUCCCUGUGAAGGACAGUGAACACAGAUCAAGAAGUAUCAGCUGGACCCCAGCAUGGAGGAGCAACUGCAGACUUCAGCAGACUCAUUCAGGUCAAUCACUUGAUGUGGCCUCUUACUGGCAACAUUAGCCAUGGAUUUUGUACCCUUAGGAGCUAUGAUGAAAAAAACAACACAAGAUUAAAUCAAAUGCGAGAGAAAAUAAUGUGCAAACAAGAGAUGCGGUAAACAUGAAAUAUAUGAGGAUACUGUGGGUAUAACAUGACAUACUGUUUUACAGUAAA
ensembl:lncRNA novel transcript, overlapping AHCY